AAUAUUGGACAAUGGGCGAAAGCCUGAUCCAGCCAUGCCGCGUGUGUGAAGAAGGUCUUCGGAUUGUUCAGCACUUUAAGUUGGGUGGAAGGGUUGUAGGUUAAUACCCUGCUAUUUUGACGUUACCAACCGAAUAAGCACCGGCUAACUUGGUGCCAGCAGCAGCGGGAAUACGAAGGGUGCAAGGUUUAAUCGGAAUUAAUGUGCGUAAAGCGCUCGUAGGUGGUUAAAGAAGAUGGGAGUGAAAUCCACGGGCUUAACCUGGAAACUGCUUUCAUAACUGCUGAGCUAGAGUACGGUAGAGGGUAGUGGAAUUUCCUGUGUAGCGGUGAAAUGCGUAAAUAUAGGAAGGAACACCAGUGGCAAAGGCGACUACCUGGACUGAUACUGACACUGAGGUGCGAAAGCGUGGGGAGCAAACA
rnacentral:rRNA from 1 species